UACAGAGGGUGCAAGCGUUGUUCGGAAUUAUUGGGCGUAAAGCGCGUGUAGGCGGCUUUGCAAGUCGGGUGUGAAAGCCCUCAGCUCAACUGAGGAAGUGCGCCCGAAACUGGCAGGCUAGAGUACUAAAGAGGGUCGCGGAAUUCCCGGUGUAGAGGUGAAAUUCGUAGAUAUCGGGAGGAACACCGGUGGCGAAGGCGGCGACCUGGGUAGAUACUGACGCUGAGGUGCGAAAGCGUGGGGAGCAAACAGG
rnacentral:rRNA from 1 species